rnacentral:tRNA from 1 species
GGGGAUGUAGUUAAUCAUAACAUUUAAUUUGCAAUUAAAAGGUACACUUUAGUCUUCCUUA